UACGGAGGAUCCGAGCGUUAUCCGGAUUUAUUGGGUUUAAAGGGAGCGUAGGUGGAUUGUUAAGUCUGGUGUAAAAGGCAGUGGCUCAACCAUUGUAUGCAUUGGAAACUGGUAGACUUGAGUGCAGGAGAGGAGAGUGGAAUUCCAUGUGUAGCGGUGAAAUGCGUAGAUAUAUGGAGGAACACCGGUGGCGAAAGCGGCUCUCUGGCCUGUAACUGACGCUGAAGUUCGAAAGCGUGGGUAGCAAACAGG
rnacentral:rRNA from 1 species